UACGAAGGGGGCUAGCGUUGCUCGGAAUUACUGGGCGUAAAGGGAGCGUAGGCGGACAUUUAAGUCAGGGGUGAAAUCCCGCGGCUCAACCUCGGAAUUGCCUUUGAUACUGGGUGUCUUGAGUAUGAGAGAGGUAUGUGGAACUCCGAGUGUAGAGGUGAAAUUCGUAGAUAUUCGGAAGAACACCAGUGGCGAAGGCGACAUACUGGCUCAUUACUGACGCUGAGGCUCGAAAGCGUGGGGAGCAAACAGG
rnacentral:rRNA from 1 species